CCAAACCAUAAACAAUUAUUAAAAUAUAAAUAUUUGUAGUCCUCAUCUAUGUGAGUAAAAAAAAAAAAACCUCUCCGGUGAUAUUGUAAUGGAUUUAUCCAUGUGGGAUAUCCAGUGUGUCAUUUUAUGAAAUUUCUUUGGUUAUUAUAAAAAAUAUACUUAGGACUUGUGUGUAAAACAAAAUAUAUUAUGCGCUUCUUCUUUAAAA